rnacentral:rRNA from 1 species
UACGUAGGGUGCAAGCGUUAUCCGGAAUUAUUGGGCGUAAAGAGCUCGUAGGCGGUUUGUCGCGUCUGCUGUGAAAACCGGAGGCUCAACCUCCGGCCUGCAGUGGGUACGGGCAAACUAGAGUGCGGUAGGGGAGAUUGGAAUUCCUGGUGUAGCGGUGAAAUGCGCAGAUAUCAGGAGGAACACCGAUGGCGAAGGCAGGUCUCUGGGCCGAUACUGACGCUGAGGAGCGAAAGCGUGGGGAGCGAACAGG